rnacentral:tRNA from 1 species
GGGCGAGUGGCGGAAUGGCAGACGCGCACGACUCAAAAUCGUGUGGGGAAACUCAUGAGGGUUCGACUCCCUCCCCGCCCACAA